CAAAUUGGGAUGAAGUUUGUACUCGUUGACGAAAACUACAAAAGGGAUUUAUGAAUUGACGCGUUUCAUCAUAGUCAAUAGAAUAAGAAGGGUAUGGAACUCGAUGUGGACAUAUUAGACAUCAUUAUCUAUGUUUUUCUCUUCGUUUUUGCAGGAAAUGGUCGGUUCAUCGGCACGUGUGUAUUGUAUUUUCGCCUAACCAACCGAUAACAGUGUGUUUGUUAAAUUACUCAGUCGUGAUAUUACACAGGGUUCGUAGCGGUCUUUGAAAUCCUUGAAAGUCUUUAAAUUUGAGUGCAGGUCGUUAAGGUCUUUGAAAAGUCUUUGAAUUGUGUGAAAAGGCGAAGAAAGUCUUUAAAUUCUUUGGUGAGUAUUUGAUUAUACGAUUUCCUAGCUAAUAAAAUAGAUUGAUUGAAGCAAGAUUUUCGCAAAUAUCGACGAAAAGGCGCAUUUUAGGAUGUGAUUUGACGGGACUAAUUACCGGGUAAAAAUGCUACUUACACUCGCAAUUUUUCGACAGCUGAUUGCUGUCAAAGGUCUUUGAGAAGUCUUUCAAAAUAGGCAGAAAAAGUCUUUGAAAGUCUUUGAUUUUUUUUGGUCUUGGAGACUACGAACCCUGUCACACAAUGGUUAAAUGAGAACAUGGCUAUUGGUUGCAGUUUAGCGAAAAUACAAUACACAUGUGACGAUGAACUGAUAAUAUCUUGCUUAAAGCAAGACAAAAACAUAAAUAAUGAGGUUUAUUAUGUCUGCAUCGAGUUUCCUAACUUUCUUAUUCUAUUAACUGUGGUUUCACUAAGCACUAUCGUGCAGUAGGUGGUGGUCAACCUGGCAAAUAAAUAGCUACAGACUCAAUUUUGAUCGCUAGCAAGAAGAACGAAAUGCAACACCACAGCUAGAAAGAGCGUCUUAGAAUGAGUAAAACUGGAAAGAUUGGUUGCUAAAUGUUGUAAAAUGAAGAAUAUAUAGCCCUGUGAUGUUCGCAAAUUUUGUAUAUAUUUGUAUUAUACAAAAUUUGCGAACUUCACAGGGCUAUAUUUUCUUCAUUUUACAACAACUCGCAACCAAACUUUGAGCAAAAGCUCGUUUUAAGAUGCUCUUUCCAGCUAUGGAUCAUCCAUUGACAAAUGUAGUCUUGCUUCUAAAAAUGUGAACAUUUUUUUAAGUUAAACACCAUCUGCUGUCCUUUAGAGCUUAUUGAAACCAUCCGGGAUUGGUACAUUCUGUUACCAGACAAGUUUUAAAGGUGGACACCAAACCUGGAAAGAAGUGAGAUCCUGGAUGCUUAGGAACAUUCCCCUUCCAUUUUUCACACAUUCGUUAUGGGAGAAUUUUGCAUAAUGUGCAGUCGCGCUUUUGAGGAACUUUUGAAUAAGAUAAACAUUUUUUCCAGGUCUGGUCAGGACGGUCGAGAAAAUAAUAAACUCGCCUCUCAAGUCUCGAUCAAUGGCGAGCUAGACCGAGGUUUUUUUUAUAUUUUGAAGUGUUUUGAAAUUGCUAUAAUUAUAUUUGGUAUACGAAUACAUUUUUAAGUACCACAAUUAUUAAGUAAAAUGUCAGUAAAAAAUGCUAAAUACUAUAUAAUUUUAAAUAAUUAAUUUCUGUAAAAUAUUUUUAUUGAUGAAAUUUGCUGUCUUGGUGUAUAAAUGUACUCAGGUGAAUAAGAUGCUUGUGAUGUUACUCUGAGUGUAUAUCCACACAGGGCAGGCUUGAAAAAUAUGCCUGGCCACGGUGGGAAUCGAACCUACGACCUUUGGAAUACUAGCCCAAUGCUCUGCCAACUGAGCUACGCGGUCAGGACGGUUCGAGUAUGCGAUAUUUCGGAACUGAGUCUAGUUCCUUCGAUAUCAGUGUAAUCUAAUAAUCAUGAAAUCUGCUGUGUUGGUGUAAUGUACUCAGGUGAAUAAGAUGUUUGUGUGAUGUUACUCUGAGUGUAUAUCCACACCGGGCAGGCUUGAAAAAUAUGCCUGGCCACGGUGGGAGUCGAACC
rnacentral:tRNA from 1 species